UUAAAUUGAAGAGUUUGAUCAUGGCUCAGAUUGAACGCUGGCGGCAGGCCUAACACAUGCAAGUCGAACGGUAACAGGAAGCAGCUUGCUGCUUCGCUGACGAGUGGCGGACGGGUGAGUAAUGUCUGGGAAACUGCCUGAUGGAGGGGGAUAACUACUGGAAACGGUAGCUAAUACCGCAUAACGUCGCAAGACCAAAGAGGGGGACCUUCGGGCCUCUUGCCAUCGGAUGUGCCCAGAUGGGAUUAGCUAGUAGGUGGGGUAACGGCUCACCUAGGCGACGAUCCCUAGCUGGUCUGAGAGGAUGACCAGCCACACUGGAACUGAGACACGGUCCAGACUCCUACGGGAGRCAGCAGUGGGGAAAGUUGUACAAUGGGCGAAGUCCUGAUGCAGCCAUGCGGCGUGCUUGAUGAAGUCCUUCG
rnacentral:rRNA from 1 species